CGUUGGAUAGUCUGGAAUUUUGCUCAACAUACGAAAGCACUUAUCCUCAGUUAAUCCUUCUAUUUCACAUAAUGUCAAAUAUAAUUUUUGGGCACUUUCUUGAAUAAGUAUUUCUGACUUCCCUUCAAUUAGCAUUUUGGAGGCAAUGCUCCUACUUAAUUCAAGGCCAACAGGUCGUAUGUUUUUCCUAAUAACGUGGCAGCAUCAGUAAGUGAAAUAGAAAUUUGUUCACUUCCAUCAAAAAUCUUUUUUUUUUAUUCUUUGAAAAUGUGGAAUCAUCUUAGUUUGGCUUCGAUGUUUGUGAUUGUGUAGCCAAGACAUCCAUCUCAUCUAAGGAAACAUCAUCUUCGCAUCCAUGGUAAUUGCUUCCUACUUCAGAUUAUUUGCAGUAGAUACAUCCUCAGCAUCUAUUUUUUCAACAAUAUCAUCAGCUGUUUGAGCAUCUUUCUCAAUGGCUCUAUCUUUUGCAUAUAUGGGAAGUAAGUUGGUCAUAAUAAGGGAAAUUGUGACGUUUGAAUUGACCAGCUUCUUUAUGA
rnacentral:lncRNA from 1 species